GAUGAAGAACGUAGCGAAAUGCGAUAAGUAAUGUGAAUUGCAGAAUUCAGUGAAUCAUCGAAUCUUUGAACGCACAUUGCGCCCGCCAGUAUUCUGGCGGGCAUGCCUGUUCGAGCGUCAUUACAACCCUCAGGCCCCCGGGCCUGGCGUUGGGGAUCGGCAGAAGCCCCCUGUGGGCACACGCCGUCCCUCAAAUACAGUGGCGGUCCCGCCGCAGCUUCCAUUGCGUAGUAGCUAACACCUCGCAACUGGAGAGCGGCGCGGCCAUGCCGUAAAACACCCAACUUCUGAAUGUUGACCUCGAAUCAGGUAGGAAUACCCGCUGAACUUAAGCAUAUCAAAAGCGGAGGA
rnacentral:misc_RNA from 1 species